AUUUGGAUAGCUCAGACGGGUAGAGCAUCAGACUGAUAAUCUGAUUGUCGAAGGUUCGAAUCCUUCUCCAA
rnacentral:tRNA from 1 species